rnacentral:lncRNA from 1 species
AUCUAGAUGAGGAAACUUAUCAGAAGACUGAAUCUACCAAUAAAAAAAUUUUUUUUUCCUUUCUCCAGACUACUACCUUGCUUGACCACUGCUGAUGACUGGCCAUUCUCAGCUUCACUUCAAGAAAUCUUGCAAAGCUCUGAUGAAACCUUCUCCUUCAGGAUGCGUUUUGGAAUUGUCACAUCGUUGCUACGUUUUCCUUAAAGUUGGGCACUUACAUUUUGUUCAAGAAGAAAAAGGUGUUUUUCAUGUAUAUAAGCACAAAACACCCUCUAAGCCUCCUUCAGAUUGAUUUCUAAAAUUAUUUUUUAUUUUUCUUUGCUUCAACAUUUCAUGAAUAUUUUCAGUCAUAUUUCUGAUGUUCCUAGAUUUAUUCAGUUUCGCUUGCAACUACAAAGUUCUCUAGAACAAAUGAAAACUUACAUUUAAAAAUCCUGUAUGUAACAUGAAUAUAGUAAUUACUUUUUAAAACAUGGAGAGCCUCUCUCUGGCUGUUGCUGUUUGUCUCCCCUGCUGUCUUGUCUGGUCUUCGUGGCCAGUGACUGCAGCUGCAGCUAAAGGAAAUGGGCAGAUUUAGCAAGGAACCUGCAGUGGGUUGUGUAGCUUCCUUUCCUUUCACUGGCUCAAGUUUUUCUUUCUCUUACUAUCUCUAGGGAUAAAAAGGUAUUGAAGUCAUAAUAAAAGCAUAUGAUCUCAUUUUCCUUUGGAAAUU